UGCGUAGGCGGGUUUCUAAGUCAGAGGUGAAAGCCUGGAGCUCAACUCCAGAACUGCCUUUGAUACUGGAAGUCUUGAGUUCGGGAGAGGUGAGCGGAACUGCGAGUGUAGAGGUGAAAUUCGUAGAUAUUCGCAAGAACACCAGUGGCGAAGGCGGCUCACUGGGCCAUUACUGACGCUGAGGCACGAAAGCGUGGGAGCAAACA
rnacentral:rRNA from 1 species